GGCCAGUACGGGCAGAAUCACGAAUCCUUCGUUAUUCGAUGUAUCGUUAUGGAAUUCCCGCUGGAUCGACACUCUCUUCAAAUGACGCACGACUUAUGUACGCGUGUGGUUUAUACUAUCGUUCUACUCACAUAUGCUAGGCUGUAUACUAGCAAAGAGGGAAUUAGAGUGCUCGCGCGCGUCCUUGUGUUGUCCCCUAUACAAGUGCUGUACCAAACAGCCAAGUGUUGCAGUGGUUUAACCACAGACGAGUAUAUGCAUAAGAUAAAUCACAUAUAAUCCAAGUACGAUCGUAUUAAAUAGCUUUCGACGCUCGCUAGGGAAAAUUGAAUCGUCAAAAAUUAAAUGGAAGACAAUAAAGUUUCUCUUACUCUGCUCAUGCAUAAUACGCACAUAUACAUAGAUACUACUAGAUUAAUAAAUCAUAAUUUUUUAAAUUAGCUUUAUGUUAAACUAUAUUAAAUUUUAGCUAUCCUAAUUAAUUACAAUAAAUAACAAAUCCAAUUAUUGUCAAUUAAAUGUUCGAUUAGGUGGAAAGGUUUUAAAACUUUGUAUAACACAGAUAUGAAAUUAUUUGAGGCAAAAGCACUAGUGUGCCUAAGUCUAUGUGUGAAGCAUAUGAAUCUGAGCAAUUUCGCUGAAAUGUGAGCCCGAUUAGCUAAGCUACGCGAGCAUGUUACGACUUUUAUUCGUACAAAAAAAAUGUUAGUACUUAUCGGAAGUUUAUAUUUAUUUUAUUUGUAUAGCUGUUUAGUAGAUCUGUGUGUAUAGCUGCACUUGAAAUAUGUAAACAAGCAAAUCAUGUGGGACUACAUGAUAUUGUAGCAGCAGUAAAAAUAUUUUUGUUUCGUCUGGCGGUCAAGCUUUUAAAACGUUACAAUGAUUCUUUUGGCUGAACGAAGCAAGAAAUAAGAAGAAAAGAGAAGGAAACACAGGAAGAGAAGAGGUGAAAGAGUUGAUAAAAGAAGUGGUGUAAUAAGCAUGAAAGAGAAGCUUGAACUAAGUUAAUGAGAAUGGAAGGAAGGAAAGCUAAGUCGAGAUAGAAGGGUACGGGAGCUGGAGAAGGCAGAGGAACGCA